rnacentral:lncRNA from 1 species
UAUUUAUGUGACAGGCAAUGCCACUGCUGAAUACAACUGCAACUUUAAAUCAAUACAGUGUUUGUGUUUGAAUUAAGAUGCAGGAUUAAGAUGUCAAAUCUGCUGCCACCCACAAGAUGCAGUAGUGAUAAAGUCCGGAGAAUGUGGAGUUUCUUAUCAUUCAUCAAACUGAAAGUACUACCUUUAGAUUCAUACUGUUACAGUAAGGUCACCGUAGUUCCAUUUUUAGCGACGUUCCAAUUCCCUUUUCACUUCUGCAUUUAUAGUUGAUUUGGUGUUCGGCAGCGUAAGUGUCUGACCAUUAAAGAGAACGCAAGUUCUACAGCAGGUCAAUCCCACCAAUCUGUGUCACGCACCAUGGGCAGAUGUAUCGACGUUUGCAAGCUGGUCUUAUGGGUUGCAGUUUGUGUGACCUUCAUUGUCUUGGGUGCUGUGUACACUGAUGACUGCCCAGUGAAACGUGUCAUCCCUAUCCACAUGAUAAUUUCUGGAUCUUUCGGUCUCCUCUAUGUAUUCUUCUCCUGCUGCAAGGACCGUGUUGUGUGCCAACAUUUGUCUAAACUAUUUUGGUUCAUGAUCAUCAUCUGGCUCAUUAUUGGCCAUUUUUGGACCUUCUCUGUAUUCCAACCCAACUAUGCACGGAAAGAGAUCAUCGGCAACACAGUAUACUGCAACAAAUCUCUAUACCUCUUUGUGGCCUCUACCACCAUCCUAUUGGACAUUAUUAUAUGUAUGUGGCUGCUUGUGUUGUUUGAUGUAUGUAAAUGCUUCAUACUUUGUCUGGUCUGCUGUGUCUCUUUAUGCAAGUCUGACGAUGUCAAACCUGUGCAGGUUGUUGAGCCUUUGAGGGUUGUGGAGACUGAGGACUGCGUUGAACCUAAGGAGUGUGUGGGGACUGACGGAAGUGUGGGGACUGACCUGUGUGUGGGGACUGAAGUGUGUGUGGGGACUGAGGUGUGUAUGGGGAUUGAGGUGUGUGUGGAGACUCAGGAAAGUGUGGGGCUUGACGAGAGUGUGAAACUUGAAGAGAGUGUGGAGUACGUGGAGAGUAUGGAGUAUAAGGAGUAUGUGGUAACUGGGCAGAGUGAGUCCAACACUGCUCAUUAUUAAUGCAAUUCACUAUUCACAAUACCAAUAGUAAUUUACAUGAAUUUGUCUAUUUUGGGGGGUGAGAUCAUGUAAAAAUGUAGAUGUCAUCAUAAAAAAUAAGCAAUCAAUGGGUCAAUUUGUGCCAUUAUGUUGCCAAAAAUCUGAAGAUGAAAAUAAAAAUAUUGAUUCCCACUUUGAUUUUCAAGAUUUAAAAUGUACCUUGGUAGACAAAUAUUAUCGUUACCAUUUUUGAGCAGAAUGAUAAUCAUUUGGCUAAUAGGCUGCUGUUCCACUUCACAAACACCCGCCCUGAAAUAGUGGCCCAUCAAUGAAAACGCACACCCAAAGUAAAUGGACUGGUGUGUUAAAAUGCCUGGGCCGACUAUUGGUCCGAUUUUUCCCCUGCUGUAGUUCGUAAGUCAUUACAAUUAUAAUAACUAACUGGAUCAAAUUGUGUGACCAUCAUCUUAGUGCUUGACAAAUACUAGGCCUAAGCACAACGCCUCUCCCCUAUUUGACCUAUAUAGUUUGUGUACGUAUUAAUAUGUAGGCUAAGUGUAACCGAUAUGAAAUGUCUAGCUAGUUAGCGGUGGUGUCCGCUAAUAGCGUUUCAAUCGGUGACGUCACUCACUUUGAGACCUUGAAAUAGUGGUUCCCCGGCUGCACAUUUUGUGGAGUGAUGGGUAACGAUGCACCGAGGGUGACUGUUGAUGUGUGCAGAGGGUCCCGGGGUCGAGCCCAGGUUGGGGCGAGGAGAGGGAUGGACUCAAGUUAUACUGUUACGUAAGUGUGCCUUUGGUAAGAAAUAAAAUAAUUUAUGUAGUUCUGUCCUUGAGCUGUUGUCUAUUAAUGUUCUGUAUUAUGUCAUGUUUCAUGUUUUGUGUGGACCCCAGGAGAGCACAGAGAGGCUGCUGCCUAUAUACACAGACUUGAAAUCCCUGGCCACUUUAAUAAAUGGAACACUAGUCACUUUAAUAAUGUCACUUUAAUAAUGCUUACAUAUGUUGCGUUACUCUUCUCAUAUGUAUAUACUGUAUUAUAUGCUGUUCUACUGUAUCUUAGUCAAUGCCCUCUGACAUUGCUCUUCCAUAUAUUUAUAUAUUCUUAAUUCAAUGCCUUAACUUGGACUGUGUGUAUUGGGUAUAUGUUGUGAACUUGUUAGAUGUUACUUGUUAUUUAGUACAGCACUGUCGGAGCGAGAAACACGUGCAUUUCGCUACACGCGCAAUAACAUCUACUAAACACGUAGAUAUGACCAAUAAAAUGUGAUUUGACUUGCUUUUGCAAUAGCUAAUGGGAAUCCUGAUAAAAUACCCCAAAUACCAAGCUUAUGGGUCUACUGUCUGUUACCAAUAUCAGUAAUAUUAUAUGCAGCAGCUUGUUUACUUGGAAUAAACAGAGCAAAUAAUGCAAAUGAAUGCAAAGUCAGACAGAGACUAAAUCGAAGUUUGAAUGUAUUAUGGCUCAAUUGAAUUGAUAAAAUGUGUGUUGUGUUCUUCCACAAUAAAAAGGCCAGGGCUUCUAAACUGGUGUGUUUCAUUUGACCUACUCUAUUUGAGUUGGCAUAAUUCAAAUGGUUGCCAAUCUAUUCAAAUGAAGUUGUGCUGCCUUACUGUAACAUUGUAAAUUGUCAGUCGCCCGUACCGUUUCGAUAAGGUAGCCAACAGUAGCUUGUGAUCUUGGCUGCUUUCAGUCUCCCGCAGCACCAGACCGCAAGAGCAUGCGCUGUCGAGAGCGAUGGCUCCGUCAGUUAAUGAGAAAUGGUGAAAUUGAAUUAUUUUCUGACUUUCCUCAAGCGCAGAUCUCUCAGUAGUAGUGUUUACUUCACUGACACACGCACAACCAAGGUAAGUUGACCAUAUCGUAACCAAAUACAUUUGACAUGUUUUGCCAAAUUCUGUAAAGGUUUUUAAUUGAUCUUUUUUUAUCAUAGCCUACAUUCUAUUGCCGACAAUCCACGGAUGCGUUCAUUGGACAUAGAGUAGCCGAACGAAUAAGAGGCUGAUCAUUACUGGUUAUCAAUUGUCUGCAUAUGUUCUUGGUUAUUGGUAUUAACUUAAUAUUAUUAAAUGACAUAGUAUUAGCUAAAUAUUAUUAAUUGUAAUGUAGAACUGUCCUACAGUGUUUUAUUGAAAAAAAUAUAGUCUGUGAUGGACUAACAAAAUGCUAACGUGAACAAGUGUGACAGGUCAGGUUACUUCACUAUUUAAUGUAACUUCAACCAAACAUUAAACUUUGUAUGAAAAAAAACACACAACGAGAGGUGACAUUGCAAAGCUAAGAAAAGAAAAUAUAGGUACGGGCCAGCAAAGACAGACCGGUGUGUGUAUAGUUAUGGGAUUGGUGAUUGUGUGAUUGAUGUUUGUGUCAACUUUUCAUGGUAGAUAUACAGUGCAUUCAGAAAGUAUUAAGACCCCUUGACUUUUUCUACAUUUUGUUAAGUUACAGCCUUGUUCUAAAAUUGAUUAAAUAAUUAUCCCCACUCUAAUCCACAGACAAUACCACAUAAUGACAAAACACAAACUGAAAUAUUACAUUUACAUAAGUAUUCAGAUCUUUUACUCAGUACUUUGUUGAAGCACCUUUGGCAGCGAUUACAGCCUUGAGUCUUCUUGGGUAUGACGCUAAAAGCUUGGCACACCUGUAUUUGGGGAGUUUUUCCAAUUCUUCUCUGCAGAUCUUUUCAAGUUCUGUCAGGUUAGAUGGAGAGUGUCGCUGCAUACCUAUUUUCAGGUCUCAAGAUGUUCGAUUGGGUUCAAGUUCAGGCUCUGGCUGGGCCACUCAAAGACAUUCAGAGACCUGUCCCAAAGCCACUCCUGCGUUGUUUUGGCUGUGUGCUUAAGGUCGUUGUCCAGAUGGAAGGUGAACCUUCGCCCCAGUCUGAGGUCAUGAGCGCUCAUGAGGAGGUUUUCAUCAAGGAUCUCUCUGAUCUCUCUCCGUUCAUCUUUCCCUCGAUCCUGACUAGUCUCCCAGUCCCUGACUCUGAAAAUCAUCCCCAGAGCACAAUGCUGCCACCACCAUGCUUCACCGUAGGGAAGGUGCCAGGUUUGCUCCCAACGUGAUGCUUGCCAAUCUUAUCUCGGAGCUCUACGGACAAUUCCUUCGACCUCAUGGCUUGGUUUUUGCUCUGACAUGCACAGUCAACUGUGGGACCUUAUAUAGACAGGCAUGUGCCUUUCCAAAUCAUAUCCAAUCAAUUGGAUUUACCACAGGUGGACUCCAAUUAAGUUAUAGAAACAUCUCAAGGAUAAUCAAUGGAAACAGGAUGCACCUGAGCUCAAUUUCGAGUCUCAUUGCAAAGGGUCUGAAUACGUAUGUGAAUAUGUUAUUUCUGUUUUUAGUUUUUAAUACAUUUGCAAACAUUUCUAAAAACCUCUUUUUGAUUUGUCAUUAUGUGUGGAGAUUGAUGAGAAAAAGGUUUUAUUUAAUCCAUUUUAGAAUAAGGCUGUAAUGAAACAGGCUGUCUGAAUACUUUCCGAA